ACCAAAGCAACUCUCAUGAUCCGAACUGUACUGAGUGCAGUGGCCAAAGCAAGGUAAUAUCACAUGUGCUAACAAUGGAAAUGGGCAGAGUGCAGACAAAACACUGGAAAAGAAUUUACUCGAUUCUUGGCAGAACAUGAAGCCUCGGUCUACCUCAUUAUACCUUCCAGUGGCUGCAGCUGUUUUUUUGCGCUUGUUCACUUUCUACAAGAGUUUCAAGUUGUGGACAGUCUUUCUCAAUGCCACACAGUCAAUGUCCUGAUUUUUUCACCAAUAUCAUUGUGAUAAAUAGAAGAUGGUUAAUUGCAUCCAUUCUAGGCCAGUCAGUAGGAAGAAAUAAGUUUCAGCAAAUCAUAAAACUGCUUGCACUACAGACAUCAUGUCACCUGGGAGCUGUAGUUCACCACCUCCAUCAUUUCUUGCUGACAUGCUUGACAAAGAGCAAAGUAUUCUGAAGUUCCAUCCAAGUUUCCUGCCAAGCUAAUUUGUUUGAUGACUACUGGGAGUAACCACGUGUGCAUCAUGAAACAUCUCAACAAACCUGUAACAUCUAUGUACAGUUAUACUGACUUAACUUGAAAUGAAGCUUUCUAGGUAGUUUCAAAAAGCUGAAUCUCUAGUAUUUUUUUAACUGUCUGUAACCAAACUGCUUUGAUUUUAUAUAAAACAUCCCAGGACAAUCUACUGAUAUUUUCAACUAAAUAGUUUUUACAAUCUGUGAUCCUUGACAUGUCAUGAACUUUAGUUCUCCAAGCAUAUGUUUCUAGGAGAAAGACAAAACUAAUAUUAUAGUCUGCUUGUUAGAAAAUGUAAUUCAAAACAAUACAAAUCAAA
rnacentral:lncRNA from 1 species